AAUUACAAUUGUGGAAAUUCCAUAAUAAAUCUUUAAAAACCACCCAAAACCUUUUUGAAGAAUUCUACACUUUGGCAAAAGGAAAUAUCCAGAAAGUUCUCCUGAUCACCAGAAACAGGUAGUUAGCCUUUAUCAAGGCAGUGAGUCC